ACUCUGCCCAGUGAGGUUAAUUAAAUGGCCGCAGUAUUUUAACUGUGCGAAGGUAGCAUAAUAAUUAGUUUUUUAAUUGAAGACUAGAAUGAAAGAGUGGAUGAAAUUAUGACUGUCUCAGUUUAAAUAGUAUAAUUUUAUUUUGGGUAAAAAUUCCUAAAUGAGAUUAAGGGACGAGAAGACCCUAUAGAAUUUAAAAGUAUAUUUUUAAUAAGUAAUUUAAGAAUUAAGAGUUUUUUAUUAAUAUAUUUUUUUAUUGGGAAGAUAUUUAAAUUUAUUUAACUUUAUAUAAUUAUAAGUCAUUAAUUAGUGUUUUAGUAAAGAUUAAUUUAAUUAAUAAAGAAAAAAUUACCUUAGGGAUAACAGCGUAAUAAAUUUUUAAAGUUCAUAUUGGAAAAUUUGAUUGCGACCUCGAUGUUGAAUUAAAAUAAAAUUUAGGUGUAGAAGCUUAAUAUUUAAGUCUGUUCGACUUUU
rnacentral:rRNA from 1 species